CCUACGGGAGGCAGCAGUGGGGAAUAUUGGACAAUGGGGGCAACCCUGAUCCAGCCAUGCCGCGUGUGUGAAGAAGGCCCUCGGGUUGUAAAGCACUUUCAGUGAGGAAGAACGCCUGGUGGUUAAUACCCAUCAGGAAAGACAUCACUCACAGAAGAAGCACCGGCUAACUCCGUGCCAGCAGCCGCGGUAAUACGGAGGGUGCGAGCGUUAAUCGGAAUUACUGGGCGUAAAGCGCGCGUAGGUGGCUUGAUAAGCCGGUUGUGAAAGCCCCGGGCUCAAACUGGGAACGGCAUCCGGAACUGUCAAGCUAGAGUGCAGGAGAGGAAGGUAGAAUUCCCGGUGUAGCGGUGAAAUGCGUAGAGAUCGGGAGGAAUACCAGUGGCGAAGGCGGCCUUCUGGACUGACACUGACACUGAGGUGCGAAAGCGUGGGUAGCAAACAGGAUUAGAUACCCUUGUAGUC
rnacentral:rRNA from 1 species